AGCAGGACACCUCAGCCUCCCUACCGUACCCUGUGCCAGCCUCCUGUGUGACCUUGCCUGGAAUUCCCUCCCUGAGUGUUACUCACCAUCGACAAAGAGCGGGUGCUGUCAUCAAGCCUUAGAAGUUGUUUGAGAAGCUGAUGUUGCCUUAGAAGGCGCUGGAGCUGGUCCGAGUGGUAAGAAGCACAGCUUUGUGCAGACUCGUGAUGUGAGAUGCUGCUGGUACCACGCGAAGAAACAAGUCUCUAUGCUACAACUUCGGACACUGAGGCCAGUGGAGGGAGGUGAAGGAAGACAGCUGUGGGGAGAAGCAUUUCUGCGGUGUUCCUGCAAGCAGUUGGUCCCGAUGCACUGCCCGCAGGCCUGCGCGGAGACACAGGUUCCCAAGAUGAGGGUGUGAGGAGCCCAUUCGUUCUUCAGCCAGCACUUCUAGCCAGGACGACGGUCGUGGUUGGUACUUCCCGAGGUCCUACCAGGUGCCAAGCGUUGUCCUCAGCACCUGGUGUUGAGUUUCUCGUUUGAUCCUCCGAGCGGCGCUGCGAGAUGGUCAUUGAUAGUAUCACCAUUUUACAGGUGGGGACACGGAGGCUUAGAGAGCUCAAGUGACUAAUACUUAUUGGGCUGGGAUCCUGUCUGAUUUCAGUGCUGCAUGCCUUCACCAUUAAGUGACACCACUGUAUACCUUGCCAUGUGCUGCCUUAGGCUGUAGUUGGUCGGGCCUGUUCCCCAAACUCCUUGCUCUAGAGAAUUAGGAAAGAAAUACAUGGAAAAGAGGAUGGAAAUUCUGACAGCUAGCAUGACAAAGGUCUGAACUCCUGAACACGUGGUUGGUAACAUUCCCUGCCUGCCCCUCCUUCCCCACGGAUCGCCUCUUCCUGGGAGCUGAGAUUGUCUCCUCUGUCUGAUUCUUCCCCCUCCAAGGCCACCCCGUGCUCAUCUCAGCUGGGGUCACGGGGAGGUGGAGGUGCCCCUGCCAGCAGCUCUUUGUCGUCAGUAGCUGGUUGUGGAACUGCCUGGUCGGCCCACAGCGGAGGAUGGUGGAUCGUCCAGGCCUUCCUGGAGGAAUAAGGACAGCUGGAGACAGUCUGAAGCCAGAUUCCCAGUUGCCCACCAUGUACUGGGAGACGGGUACGUGACUCAGAAGUGGAGGGAUGCAAUAGAGAGCUUUGGAGGACAGCCCGCAGAUCCCUGAAAACACAGACAUCCCAUUCGUUUCCAGUCUGUGGGGCAGCCCCUUCUCAACCUGCACAGCCCUGAGCUUCCACAGGCCUGAGUCAAGACGCUCUCCUCGCCUCUCUGGGAGCGAAGAGUGGGGGCCACAAAGCUUGCUGGAAGCAGAGUCUGUAUCCAAGGUUCAUUUGGAUUUUUAGCAUAUUAGA